rnacentral:rRNA from 1 species
UACGAAGGGGGCUAGCGUUGCUCGGAAUCACUGGGCGUAAAGCGCGCGUAGGCGGCUUUUUAAGUCAGGGGUGAAAUCCUGGAGCUCAACUCCAGAACUGCCUUUGAUACUGAGAAGCUUGAGUUCGGGAGAGGUGAGUGGAACUGCGAGUGUAGAGGUGAAAUUCGUAGAUAUUCGCAAGAACACCAGUGGCGAAGGCGGCUCACUGGCCCGAUACUGACGCUGAGGUGCGAAAGCGUGGGGAGCAAACAGG